rnacentral:rRNA from 1 species
UNCCAUGUGUAGCGGUGAAAUGCGUAGAUAUAUGGAGGAACACCAGUGGCGAAAGCGGCUCUNUGGUCUGUCACUGACGCUGAGGCUCGAAAGCGUGGGUAGCGAGCAGGAUUAGAUACCCUGGUAGUCCACGCCGUAAACGAUGAGUGCUAGGCGUUAGGCCCUUUCCGGGGCUUAGUGCCGGAGCUAACGCAAUAAGCACUCCGCCUGGGGAGUACGACCGCAAGGUUGAAACUCAAAGGAAUUGACGGGGGCCCGCACAAGCGGUGGAGCAUGUGGUUUAAUUCGAAGCAACGCGAAGAACCUUACCAGGUCUUGACAUCCCGAUGCUAUUCUUAGAGAUAGGAAGUUACUUCGGUACAUCGGAGACAGGUGGUGCAUGGUUGUCGUCAGCUCGUGUCGUGAGAUGUUGGGUUAAGUCCCGCAACGAGCGCAACCCUUAUUGUUAGUUGCCAUCAUUAAGUUGGGCACUCUAGCGAGACUGCCGGUAAUAAACCCGAGGAAGGUGGGGAUGACGUCAAAUCAUCAUGCCCCUUAUGACCUGGGCUACACACGUGCUACAAUGGUCGGUACAACGAGUUGCGAGCCGGUGACGGCAAGCUAAUCUCUGAAAGCCGAUCUCAGUUCGGAUUGGAGGCUGCAACUCGCCUCCAUGAAGUCGGAAUCGCUAGUAAUCGCGGAUCAGCACGCCGCGGUGAAUACGUUCCCGGGCCUUGUACACACCGCCCGUCACACCACGAGAGUUUGUAACACCCGAAGUCGGUGAGGUANCCUUUUAGGG